rnacentral:piRNA from 1 species
AAACUGCUGCAGGUGACACAGGUACUGGU